rnacentral:lncRNA from 1 species
AUGCUUUUUAUCUUUCAACCCCCUCUUGGAUUCUCUUGGGAGGUGCUGCUGUGGAGGGCCCCAAGCCCAAGCCCCCUCUUAUCAUGCAGCAAGGGAGGCCAAACAGCAGUGGAGGAAGCAUCUGCUUUGGUUAGGACCCAAAAGGAAGCCGUGGUGACUUACAUGACAGCUGAUUACUGUGGGACAGAAGAAUCAAUAACAGAUGAUGACAAGAGAAGGAACUAUGGAGGGGUCUAUGUUGGCCUGCCGUCAGAUGCUGUCACAAUGGUGUCCAGUCAAACAAAGAGUGCACGAAAAGAUUAG